GGGGUCUGGGGCAGAAAAGAAGGGAGGCUGGAGAAAUCUGGACCCGAGACGUAGUAAGUACAACUUGGCAAAUACAUGUUAGAGGAGCAGGGACCACGCUCAUCAAAAUCCAUCAUUGGGCUACCUUGGGCUCUCCGCAGUAGCCGAGCUUAACAUGAUUCUCCACUGCAGCUGCCUCUUUGAAGCGGAUCCGUGAAGUAGAAAUUUGGAGACGUAAGCUGACGUGGAAAUCUAUCCCCAUCCUUAGCAGGGAGGUGCUGGUCAUGUGACCCGAUGUUGAAAUUGACAAGCUGCGAGCUGGUCCGGGCCUUUUUUUUUUUUUUUUUCCCCUUUCCUUUCCCCCCCUCCCCUCCCUCCCCGGCUUCCUUUCUUUGUAGCCACCUCAGGGGAAGCAACAGAUCGUCACUCGGUGUUCUCACCGAAAGCACGUAAUCGCCGGUGUAACUCAUGUUGGCUGGGGGGCCUCCCGGCGCGCGGCGAGGCUGGGGUGCGUCCCAUGCCACUCGCUUGUGCUCAGCUGCACGGUCCUGGCCCUCAAGUGCGCCGAGGGCGGUGAGAGAGCUCAACUCCUGCCACCCAUCACUCCCCGGGAGGCCCUACACCCGAACUGAGCCCACCCUGCUCAGGGGAAGACCUGACGGGUGCUAAGGCCACCUGGAAUGCCAAGUCCGAGUUGUAUUUCUUAAAGAGAUCGAGUGGAUGAGGCUGUGACAUUGGCCCCUGCCGACUGGUUUCCCACGAGCUGUUCUUUCUCAGGAGCUCCACAAAGCGGAGCCAUCUCCAGAAAGCAAUCUUCAGCAUGUAUUUCCUUUUAUCCUCAACCCAGAGCCCCACGGCAGCUAAUGCAAAAGGCCAAAAAUGUUUUGGAGGAAGAAAAACAAAGGCAGGAAGUGGCGGCGGCCUGACGGUGCGUGUGUGUCUGCGGAGAAGGGAGGGAGCCGUUUCAAUCUCUUCUUGUUGUUUUUCCAAACUUCAAGGUCUAGGCAGCCCUCGCAGGGCUGGGCCCUUUCGUUCCCCAAGCCGCGUUUGGAGAUGGCCACCCGGAGAGGAGAAGGCUGGCGCCCCCGCGUCAGCGUGGUCAGGCGGAAACGGCUAACGAGGCGAUUUGCUCAGCAAAGCAGACCGAGCCUUUGCAAGGCUCCGUGUGAUUUGGCCUUAAAUGGGUUGGGGGGUGGGGGGUGGGGGUUGAGGGGUUCGGCAGCACCUCCCGGAUCCUCCUGCUGGGGCUGAAUGCAUCUUGGUGCAGAUGAUUCCUGCGUCCUACACUCCACCCACCUCCCCAGGCAGGAUACUGGAAUAAAUUGUGUCCAGGUGCCUCUGCCCAGCA